rnacentral:rRNA from 1 species
GGCGGUAUGCUUAACACAUGCAAGUCGAACGGUGUCUUCGGACACAGUGGCGGACGGGUGAGUAACGCGUGAGAAUCUAGCUCUAGGUCUGGGACAACCACUGGAAACGGUGGCUAAUACCGGAUGUGCCGAAAGGUGAAAGGUUAACUGCCUGGAGAUGAGCUCGCGUCUGAUUAGCUAGUAGGUGUGGUAAAGGCGCACCUAGGCGACGAUCAGUAGCUGGUCUGAGAGGACGAUCAGCCACACUGGGACUGAGACACGGCCCAGACUCCUACGGGAGGCAGCAGUGGGGAAUUUUCCGCAAUGGGCGAAAGCCUGACGGAGCAAUACCGCGUGAGGGAGGAAGGCUCUUGGGUCGUAAACCUCUUUUCUCAGGGAAGAACACAAUGACGGUACCUGAGGAAUAAGCAUCGGCUAACUCCGUGCCAGCAGCCGCGGUAAUACGGAGGAUGCAAGCGUUAUCCGGAAUGAUUGGGCGUAAAGCGUCCGCAGGUGGCGAUGUAAGUCUGCUGUUAAAGAGUCUAGCUCAACUAGAUAAGAGCAGUGGAAACUACAUAGCUAGAGUACGUUCGGGGCAGAGGGAAUUCCUGGUGUAGCGGUGAAAUGCGUAGAGAUCAGGAAGAACACCGGUGGCGAAGGCGCUCUGCUAGGCCGUAACUGACACUGAGGGACGAAAGCUAGGGGAGCGAAUGGGAUUAGAUAC